rnacentral:rRNA from 2 species
UACGAAGGGGGCUAGCGUUGCUCGGAAUCACUGGGCGUAAAGCGCACGUAGGCGGAUUCCUAAGUCGGGGGUGAAAUCCUGGAGCUCAACUCCAGAACUGCCUUCGAUACUGGGAAUCUUGAGUCCGGAAGAGGUGAGUGGAACUGCGAGUGUAGAGGUGAAAUUCGUAGAUAUUCGCAAGAACACCAGUGGCGAAGGCGGCUCACUGGUCCGGUACUGACGCUGAGGUGCGAAAGCGUGGGGAGCAAACAGG